rnacentral:lncRNA from 1 species
AAUCAUCAAUAAUUGAAAUCAGAUAUGGGUACAAAAUAUUCAUAUCAGAUUCAUAAAAGUCCAUAACAAUAAUUUAGGCUUGCAUAAUAUUUUAUAGACAAAAUUAUAAAAGAUAGUCAUGUCAUAAAAUAAUUUACAUAUUGAAAAGAAUUUAUGAAAUAUUUUGUUAAAAGGAUUUAGAUUUGAAAACAUUUUCAUAAACUGACUUUGUAAUGAAAAUCCAUUAAUCUUCUAAGUAGUAUAAAAACUCUUAUAAUAAUAUCAAAAUACUUAUACAUAUCCAGUAUAUUAGGAAUGAAGUUACUUACCUCAAUAAAGGGAUUUGAACUAACACACCUCUAAGGUAGCGUUUACUCUUUGGAUUAGAGUAGGAAUUCUGAGGAGUGGGAAUCCUAGGAUUGGGAGUGUGGAAUGGGAGUAGAAGUAGGUUGUUUACUUACACUGGAAUGGAGAUCAGAAUCCAAUUUAUGUGUUUACUUUAUCUUAGAUUGGGAGUAAAUAGUUUCAAAUUAUAAUUUUAUCCUUAUUUAAAGAAUUAUAGUUUUUAAUUACAAAGCUAAUAAAAAAUAUAUUUAAUGAAUAAAUAUUUAUUUUAUUAUAUUUGUAAAUUUAUAAUAAUUAUUAAUAUUCUUAAUUAUGAACAUCACAUUUUUUUUAAUUUUAAUUUUAAUAUAAAAUGAAACGUUAUUUU